GACGAACGCUGGCGGCGUGCCUAAUACAUGCAAGUCGAACGCAGUGGGGACGGGUGAGUAACCCGUGGGUAACCUCCCAUCAGAGGGGAUAACCCUUGGAAACCGGUGCUAAACCGAUACUGAUGGAUGGCCCCGCGGUGCAUUAGCUAGUUGGUGAGUUAACGGCGCACCAAGGCCACGAUGCAUAGCCGACCUGAGGGGUUGAUCGGCCAAACUGGGACGGAGAAACGGCCCAGACGCCUACGGGAGGCAGCAGGAGGGAAUCUUCCGCAAUGGACGAAAGUCUGACCGAGAAACGGCGCGUGAGGGAAGAAGGUUUUCGGGUCGGAAAACUCUGUUGGUAGAGAAGCGGUAUCUAACCAGAAAGCCACGGCUAACUACGUGCCAGCCGCCGCGGUAAUUC
rnacentral:rRNA from 1 species